CUACGGGAGGCACCAGGCGCGAAACCUUUACAAUGCACGAAAGUGUGAUAAGGGUAUUCCUAGUGCUCAUGUUUUACAUGGGCUUUUGCUAAGCGUAAAUAACUUGGCGAAUAAGGGGUGGGAAAGACUGGUGCCAGCCGCCGCGGUAACACCAGCGCCCCGAGUGGGAACCAUAUUUAUUGGGCCUAAAGCGUCCGUAGCAGGUUAAGCAAAUCUCUUGUGAAAUUGUUCAGCUUAACUGAACAGCGUGCAGGAGACACUACUUAACUAGGAACCGGGAGGAGUCAGAGGUAUUUUGGGGGGAGCGGUAAAAUGCUAUAAUCCUCGAAGGACCACCGAUGGCGAAGGCAUCUGACCAGAACGGAUUCGACUGUGAGGGACGAAAGCCAGGGGAGCGAACCGGAUUAGAUACCCUAGUAGUC
rnacentral:rRNA from 1 species